CCCUUAGAUGUCCUGGGCCGCACGCGCGUUACACUGAUGCAUUCAACGAGCUUAUAACCUUGGCCGAGAGGCCUGGGCAAUCUUGUUAACGUGCAUCGUGAUAGGGAUAGAUUAUUGAAAUUAUUAAUCUUGAACGAGGAAUUCCUAGUAAACGCAGAUCAUCAAUCUGCAUUGAUUACGUCCCUGCCCUUUGUACACACCGCCCGUCGCACCUACCGAUUGGAUGGUCCGGUGAGGCUCUGGGACCUGGACGGAAAGAGCGUUUCGCUUGUUCUGUUUGGGAAACUUGGUCGAACCUUAUCAUUUAGAGGAAGGAGAAGUCGUAACA
rnacentral:rRNA from 1 species